GAUGAACGCUAGCGGCAGGCCUAAUACAUGCAAGUCGAACGGUGUCUUCGGACAUAGUGGCGCACGGGUGCGUAACACGUAUGCAACCUACCUUACAUUGGGGGAUAGCCUUUCGAAAGGGAGAUUAAAACCGCAUAAGACAGCAGCUGGGCAUCCAGCAGCUGUUAAAGAUUUAUCGAUGUAAGCUGGGCAUGCGUCCAAUUAGCUAGUUGGUGAGGUAACGGCUCACCAAGGCAAUGAUUGGUAUGGGAACUGAGAGGUCAAUCCCCCACACGGGCACUGAGAUACGGGCCAGACUCCUCCGGGAGGCAGCAGUAGGGAAUAUUGGGCAAUGGACGCAAGUCUGACCCAGCCAUGCCGCGUGCAGGAUGAAGGCGUUAUGCGUUGUAAACUGCUUUUAUACAGGAAGAAACGACUCUUGCGAGGGGCAUUGACGGUACUGUAUGAAUAAGCACCGGCUAACUCCGUGCCAGCCGCCGCAGUAACAC
rnacentral:rRNA from 1 species